rnacentral:miRNA from 1 species
UUGCCUUCUCCUCUCCC